rnacentral:rRNA from 1 species
AUUGAACGCUGGCGGCAUGCCUUACACAUGCAAGUCGAACGGCAGCACGGGUGCUUGCACCUGGUGGCGGGUGGCGAACGGGUGAGUAAUACAUCGGAACAUGUCCUGUAGUGGGGGAUAGCCCGGCGAAAGCCGGAUUAAUACCGCAUACGAUCUACGGAUGAAAGCGGGGGACCUUCGGGCCUCGCGCUAUAGGGUUGGCCGAUAGCUGAUUAGCUAGUUGGUGGGGUAAAGGCCUACCAAGGCGACGAUCAGUAGCUGGUCUGAGAGGACGACCAGCCACACUGGGACUGAGACACGGCCCAGACUCCUACGGGAGGCAGCAGUGGGGAAUUUUGGACAAUGGGCGAAAGCCUGAUCCAGCAAUACCGCGUGUGUGAAGAAGGCCUUCGGGUUGUAAAGCACUUUUGUCCGGAAAGAAAUCCUUGGCUCUAAUACAGUCGGGGGAUGACGGUACCGGAAGAAUAAGCACCGGCUAACUACGUG